AAGUCGUAACAAGGUUUCCGUAGGUGAACCUGCGGAAGGAUCAUUCUCGAUAUAAUAGCGUAAGCUAUCAAUAUUCACAUUGUGCACUGUUACUGCGCCAUUUGGUGGCCACCGGGUGAUUUGCUUAUUGUUUAUCAUAUAUAUACUUUAAAAACCACAAAUUUAUACAAAAAAAUUUAAAAUUACGACAACUUUUAGCAAUGGAUCUCUAGGCUCUC
rnacentral:misc_RNA from 1 species